GACGAACGCUGGCGGCGUGCUUAACACAUGCAAGUCGAACGGAAAGGCCCUGCUUUUGUGGGGUGCUCGAGUGGCGAACGGGUGAGUAACACGUGAGUAACCUGCCCUUGACUUUGGGAUAACUUCAGGAAACUGGGGCUAAUACCGGAUAGGAGCUCCUGCUGCAUGGUGGGGGUUGGAAAGUUUCGGCGGUUGGGGAUGGACUCGCGGCUUAUCAGCUUGUUGGUGGGGUAGUGGCUUACCAAGGCUUUGACGGGCAGCCGGCCUGGGAGGGUGACCGGCCACAUUGGGACGGAGAUACGGCCCAGACUCCUACGGGAGGCAGCAGUGGGGAAUAUUGCACAAUGGGCGGAAGCCUGAUGCAGCAACGCCGCGUGCGGGAUGACGGCCUUCGGGUUGUAAACCGCUUUCGCCUGUGACGAAGCGUGAGUGACGGUAAUGGGUAAAGAAGCACCGGCUAACUACGUG
rnacentral:rRNA from 1 species